ensembl:lncRNA
AGAACCUGCACUGAGGCACACUUACAAAGAGGUGCUCUGCCAGCCCUGCACCUCCAGCUCCGAGAAGGGCAUUGUCUGGGCGCUCCUUCAUUCAAUGCAUUUGUCACUGAGUGCCCACUGUGUGCUCGGCACCGAGCAACGUGCUAGGGAUACAAUGGUGAACAUAAAAACAGGCGCCAUCUCAAUAUGGACUGAGCAUUAGUGGGGAAGACAGACAUAGCUCAGUGAUCGCACCAUACAUAAUUGCAAAUGAAAAAGUAUCAUUCAAGAAUUCAAAGGUUCAUAAAAGCCUCUGAGUGGACCUGAUCUGGUCUGGGACAUCAGGGAUGGUUUGGUGAAGAGGCGACCUUUGAACCAGGAUCUGAAGGAUAAGGGAACGGACGUUAGCAAGGCAAGAGGAGGUUAUGGGAAGGCACAGAGGGCCGAGAGAGCAUCUCUGCAGAGGCCUUCAGGUAGAGGGAGUGUGAGGAAAUGGAAGCAGUCCAGGUAUGUGGCUAAAACGGGGAAGACCUGGCUUGAGGCUGGAGACACGCAGAGCUGUAGGGCGUGCAUGGCCUUGCUGGUCACAGUGAGGACUGUGACCUUUAACCUGAGAGGUGCUGGAAGCCCUCUGACUCAUUUUAAGCAGAAGGUAGGCAAGUCACACCAGAGCUGUAAAUUCUUUCUCAUGUUGCUAAGUGCGGUGGUCUUGAAAUACAUCCAUAAUCCUCCUCCCUUCGGAAGGCGAAGCCUCGUUUCCCUCCCUCGAAUGCAGCAAUCCUGUGACUCAGCAUCGCUACCUUGAUUUUUCAGCUGAUCAAACUAAGGCUCAGAAAGGCGAGUCUGAAUCGCUCAAAGUUCCUUUGGUUGCAAGCAACAGAAACGAACUGAAUCUCACUUCACCUAAAGAGAGAAAGUCGUCGUAAGAUGCAGCGGUCAUUUGGGGAACCCAAGCUCACGUGUGAGCACUGGGCAGCGUCCCAGAAAUGACAAGAACCAGGAGAGGGAGGCAGCAGAGGGCUCGGGGAGUGUUGCUUCUCCUUCUCUCCCCUUGUCUCGACUUGGCUGCUGGGCUGCCUCUGUCUUUUUUCUCUGAAGACUGACUUUCUCAGCUGCUCGGUGCAAAUAGUUGGAGGAAUGGCAGCCUCCCACAGCUUCCAGGUUCACACAUUAUCAUGCCAACCAUAGGAGAGACUGCCCUUCUGCCUCCCUCUCUCUGGAUUGCACAUUAGCACAGCAUGUCCCUUCAGCUCGGAUCUUGGAAUGAAGAAGACACACAGAGCAGAGCUGCAGCCACCCUGCAGUCACCUCCAACAGUGAGAAAUAAACUUUUGAGAACCGACUCGUCUGAGACCCAGUCUUGAGAGCAGGCCAUGCUGUGGCAGGCGUCCCACGUAUAAAGUGGAGCAAGAUGGGCACAGAUGUUAGCUCAGGGCCAGUCUUCCUCAGCAAAAAGAGGAGGAUUGGCAGUAGGUAGCUCAGGGCUGAUCUUCCUCAAAAACAAAAAAACAAAAGAAGGCGGGGAGGAGCAGGGGGCAGUCCCCCGGGGGGAUUCCCAGAUUUCUUUUUUUG